rnacentral:rRNA from 1 species
UACGUAGGCAGCAAGCGUUGUUCGGAGUUACUGGGCGUAAAGGGUGCGUAGGCGGUUGUUUAAGUUUGGUGUGAAAUCUCCCGGCUCAACUGGGAGGGUGCGCCGAAUACUGAAUGACUUCGAGUGCGGGAGAGGAGAGUGGAAUUCCUGGUGUAGCGGUGAAAUGCGUAGAGAUUGGGUGGAACACCGGUGGCGAAGGCGGCUAUCUGGCUCACAACUGACGAUCAGGCACGAAAGCGUGGGGAGCAAACAGG